CGUUGGUACCUUAUCCUCUCACACGAACACGAGCACCAUACCAGCAGCAGCGCACUCGAGUACCUUCUAGGCUCUCCGCCGCUGACCGCCGCCGGCUGCGCGACGGGCCGUCGCCCGCGCCUCCCACCACAGCACGCCGCAAUGGAGGCCGAGCGCCCAUGGCGUCACCCGAGGACACCUUCGAGCCGCCGUUCUCCUUCAAAUUCGUCGGGAUCCAGCCUGAUCCGGACGGAUCCGGAUGCCGGCGGCCCAUUCCCGACCUCCCUGCCUCGCCUGGUUUGUCGGCCACUCCGAUGUCGUCAUCUUUGUCACGGGAUCCAGCGCUACCGAUGGCUGGCCUCCUCCUCGCCUGGAUGUGACCCCCCACGCUGUCGCCUCCAAUCCAAGCAGCGGCAGCGAACACCUCGACAAGGGCAGUUUGCCAGAUCAGUGGCCAGAGAAAAGCCAUGGCGAUGAAGUCUGAUUGAUGAUCCGCGAGCGCUCGGCGGCGCUUGAUGUGGUGGAUGCAGAAUAGUAUAGCUCCGGGUAGAGUACUAGGCCAGAUCUGGAAAAAAAUCUGUACUUCCAUUUUUUGUUGUGUAUUUCUUCCUUUUUUGAUAAAGAAGUUAUGUAUAUGGUAUAUAUAUAUAUAUAUGCAAACUCCUUUUUUCUAUAA